rnacentral:rRNA from 1 species
UACGGGGGGGGCAAGCGUUGUUCGGAAUUACUGGGCGUAAAGGGUGCGCAGGCGGCCGUGUGUGUAAGGUGUGAAAUCCCGGGGCUCAACCCCGGAACUGCGCCUUAAACUACAUGGCUAGAGUACUGGAGAGGGUAGCGGAAUUCACGGUGUAGCAGUGAAAUGCGUAGAUAUCGUGAGGAACACCAGAGGCGAAGGCGGCUACCUGGACAGUUACUGACGCUCAGGCACGAAAGCGUGGGGAGCAAAAGGG